GUUUUUCCAGAAAGAAUAGACAAGGGAUAGGGAUCCUCACCUGAAGUCCAAUGCAAGUGCUAUAAGAACACCUUACUCUCGAGUCAUGCUCAAGUCUUGAAUGAGAGCUUUAGUACGCUCGACACCUAUAAACAUAUUCAUCACUUAACAAGAUUCCAAAUGCUAAUAUAAUCGUUUACUAUCCGCUUCUAUUUUAUCCUAACUUAAAUCUUAUGCCGUAAUUGACAAUCGAACAUAAUACACAAUUUCUACGGCAUUCUAUUUACCAAAUACAACCCACUCCAGGCAUAAAUUCGCAUGGUACGGAGUUAACUCGUGUUUGUUUGACGAGUUCUCGAAACAAAGGUUUAAAACAUUUGUUUCCACAAUUUCUUUGAAAAAUCAUAACAAUUGGUACAAUUAUCCAAAUUGGGAGAGUAAUAUGCCAAAUGAAAGCUAACAGAAAAUACUACGACUUCACAUAAGGCUUUAGUCCCAAAUUCUGAACCAAAAACAGCAGAAACAGCCUCAAACCAGCAUUACAGAACUGCCGGGAUUUUGGAAAGAUUAUUUAUGGUACAGCUUAUUUGAAAAAUCAUAACAAUUUGUAGAGUUAUCCAAAUUGUCCAAAUAAUACACCAAAUGAACCUUACAAUGUAAACUACAAGUUCUCAGAAGACACACAACUCAAAUUAUUAGCUCAACAUAGCAAACACGGCCCCGUAAGAAGAAUACUCAAAACUGCCCUGUUUUAACAGAUUUACAGCCGUCUAAUUCUCAUCUCUAAAAGUCUAUAAACCUUGCUCAAAUUAGAAGCAAUUUAACACUUACUAAUAUUUCUCGCGGUCCUCUACGAGUUUCGUCAAGGAAUGAUUCCCAAAUUCGCACUCCAAACUCUCCAAAUUCUGUUCCGAAAACAGGUGCGGCAGCAGUUCUUCAUUUCUCUGAAUUUUGCCGACAUAACUGUCGGGUUUAAUUCGGUUAUAUAUGAUAGUCGAAAUUUGGGGAAAAGAUGAUAUUGCUAUAUUAUAUAGUCUGUUCUAUAAGUUCCCAAGAGAAAUAAAUCCGAAAUUCGAAGCCUAGGUACCUCAAAUCGGCUCUUAAAACUUCAGCGGCAGGCUGGACUUCUCAUCGAACUCCGGCGACCACCAUGUGAGACAACAGCCGGAAACCACCACCAAAUUGAAGCUUACGUCGAGGGCUUUCCAAUGAUAAAUCCCGACCGCUGAAACUCUGCCGGAAUGAUUGUCAAUUCACCAUCGUUCUCUCCGUCGGUUGAACCAUAGCUCAUCUCUAAUAUUCUUGAUCUCUCUCUCAAACUAUUCCUAUAAUUAAUCACUCAAUUUCUUGGAGUUCUAUGUGAUUUGUGGAUGAUGAUUCUAUCGACGAGAAGGGGUAAUUUAUAGGCAGAAGUGAAGUCGGAAUAUGCUAUUAAUCGGAUGAAGAUGACGAAGACUUUCUCACUUAUCCGCCUAUUUCAUAAACUUGAUUGC
rnacentral:lncRNA from 1 species